rnacentral:rRNA from 1 species
GCAGCCGCGGUAAUACGUAGGUUGCAAGCGUUGUCCGGAUUUACUGGGUGUAAAGGGCGUGUAGGCGGAGAUGCAAGUUGGGAGUGAAAUCCCGGGGCUCAACCCCGGAACUGCUUUCAAAACUGCAUCCCUUGAGUAUCGGAGAGGCAAGCGGAAUUCCUAGUGUAGCGGUGAAAUGCGUAGAUAUUAGGAGGAACACCAGUGGCGAAGGCGGCUUGCUGGACGACAACUGACGCUGAGGCGCGAAAGCGUGGGGAGCAAACAGGAUUAGAAACCCC